rnacentral:lncRNA from 1 species
CACAAACUUCUCGGUUUACUCAUGUGGCAGGCGAUUAUUCUGGUAGGGUCAGAGAGUCCCAGGAGACUAAGGGGGGUGUCUGUAUCCCCAUCAUCUUGAGGACAGAGAGGAGAUCCCAGGCAUCUGAUCCCCAGGUCCUGGAUAGAGUAAGUAAGUUAGGGGUAAGUGCGGGAGCUGAGAACAGACAGAGGACUGAAGACAAUGUUCAAAGUGAACGAGGCCCCAGCUUGAUGUGAUUUUUCCCUAACAGGUCGUGUCACGUGUAUCACAACUUAAGGACAGUAUUAAUGAGAACCUGCUGGAUGCCCUCGAUCUUCUUCAUGAGAGCAACAGCCCAGACUCCACUUCUCUCCCUCCUCGGGUGAAGCUGGAGUUACGUCAAAGAAUCCAGGGUGGCUCUGGCUCCUUCUCUGAAGAUGAGGAUCUUGAGAGCCUGACGUCCCAGAAUGGUGGACAUAAGAUGAAAAAUGCCUCCUUGGAGACUGUUAAAUCCAAAAUGGUGAGGCAGUUAGUUCCCCAUGUGCACUUGAUGUGGUGGGAGGGGGUCCUGGUCCUCACUGUGUGA